CGAUCUGUAUGUGGGGGGACUUCUAGAGAAGUCCAUGAACGGACGUGUUGGAGAAACAUUUGAAUGUUUAAUUGGUAAACAAUUUUAUCUGACAAAAUGCGGAGAUAGAUACUGGUAUGAGAGGAGAGACUCAGAUUUUGGCUUUACAAAAGCACAGCUUAACUCAAUCAAAAAGAUAACAAUGUCCAAAGUGCUCUGUCAAAACCUUGGAUUGGAUCGUAUUCAAAACGAGGCUUUCAUCCGACCCAAAAACAAAAGAAAAUUGAAGAAAUGUAAGAACUUGCCGGAUUUGAAUUUAAAUCUAUGGAGAGAAAAUACUGACUAACAGCAACAAUUUUACAAAGGAGAAACUUUAGAAAGAGUUUGAAAGUUGCACGAGCAAUUAUGAUAAAAUAAAAUGUAAAUAGCAUUGAAAUAAAUCGCAUGAUUAUUAACAUAU